UAAGGAAUCUUCCACAAUGGGGGCAACCCUGAUGGAGCAACGCCGCGUGAAGGAUGAAGGCCCUAGGGUCGUAAACUUCUUUUGUUAGUGAGGAAUAUGACAGUAACUAACGAAUAAGGGUCGGCUAACUACGUGCCAGCAGCCGCGGUCAUACGUAGGACCCAAGCGUUAUCCGGAGUGACUGGGCGUAAAGAGUUGCGUAGGCGGUUAUAUAAGCGAGUAGUGAAACCUGGUGGCUCAACCAUACAGUCUAUUACUCGAACUGUGUAACUUGAGAAUGGUAGAGGUGAUUGGAAUUUCUAGUGUAGGGGUAAUAUCCGUAGAUAUUAGAAGGAACACCAAUGGCGUAGGCAGAUCACUGGACCAUUUCUGACGCUGAGGCACGAAAGCGUGGGGAGCG
rnacentral:rRNA from 1 species